CGAGGCUUUGUAUAGUUGUAAGUGUCAGACUCUGUCAUGUUGGACUGAGUUAAUGCAAAUUUUCUCUUUUUCUUCAUAUGAAGAAGUUAAAAUUUUCUCUUUUUCUUCAGCCAAAAGUUGUUUUGGAUGGUAAUUUCCAUUUUUCUCCCCCAAAAACUGUUCUUCCCUCUGGUUCUUUGCCUGAGAUAUCAAGUUCUUUGCCUUUGUUUCUUUUCCUCUGGUUCUUUGUUCCUCUUCCACCGGCACGGUAAUUACAGAUGAACCCCAGUUGAUUAGCAUCACCGUUUACGACACCGACCGGGAUAGAAUGCAAAACACUGUCGCCAAGGUUACCGUGGUGGGAAGCGGAAGUAUCCAUACUUACUAUCUACUAUAAUAUCCCACUUUCUCUUUCUCCACCCACUAAUAAACAAAAAUUAAAACCCCACUCCUCUGAUCUUUUUUUUAGAUUUAUUAUUAUCAUUAUUUUGUUAACUUUAAAAACUUGAAAUUCACAGUUUCAGGGUCUGUUUGUGCCGCUACUUUGGCAAGGAAUGGAAUUUCAGUGACCCUUUUUGACUCUGCCAGGGGUCCUGGUGGCCGCAUGUCUCAAAGAAGAGAGAUAAGUGAAGAUGGGAGAGAGCUGUUAUUCGAUCAUGGUGCUCCUUAUUUCACAGUGACGAAUCCCGAUGUGUUGAGUGUUGUUACUGAGUGGGAAUCAAGAGGCCUUGUUGCUGAAUGGAAAUCGAAUUUUGGGUCUUUUGAUUGUUUCACCAACAAAAUUGUCAACACUGAACACCAGGUUCUUGUAACUAUUAUUAUACUAUUUGUUCUUCACUUCUUUUUGCUCCACCUAAUGGUACUAUUAUUUGUUUAUUUGCAUGGUUUUAUCUUAAUUAUAUCUUAACUUGCUUAUGAUGAGAGGGCAACGGUGUUUUUGAAUUGCUUAUGUGCAUGAAUUGAUGCUUUUUUCUUGAUUUCUUAAAAUCUUGGAACUACUCUUUUUUUUUUGAAGUUAAUAGGAUACUGUUAAACGUUAAUGAUCCUUGCUAUAGCUGCUUCGUAAGUGCUUGUUGCUAUAUUGUUCUUUUUUAUAUUCAUGCACUCUUCAGCUUGAUUCACUUGUAGGGUUCUUUCAUUUAACCUUUCAUCAGCUUAGACUGUUUAUGAUUGUAUUAUGUUUUCAAUUAAAAGGUCAGCAUAUCUAUGUAAAGUGUUGCAUAGUUGGUCAACGUCCAGCUCCAGUAUUGAUUCUGAUGUUUAUAUUAUAUAUAUAUAUAUUCUCACAGAUGCCCAUUUUUUAGACAAAUAAAAACUGGUGAUAUGUUUUAAACUCUACUGUUUGGUAUUAUUGCUUUAGUUCUCUGUUUGAUACACUGGAAAUUCUAAAAUCUGGAGAAAGAUUAGCUGCUUCAGAAGUAAGACUACUUGCUACAGUUGGUGUUACUAUGGUGAACGUACUACAUUGGCUACUGUUUUCAUUUUAAUGACUUUCAAAAGCUUUUUCAGCUUCCUAAAACAAAAUUUGUGUAAGGUUAAAUUCUCUAAUUAGGCUUGAAGGUUCUUCCUGAAGCACCUCUCUUCUUAAAGAUGGAUCCAGUUCGGCCAGAAUUUUAUCGUGCUACUAUCAGCUGGGAGGCUAAUGAUGGAUCGGGGAGUGCAGGAUUUUAGUUUUGUCGCUGAGAGCACUGGUCACCAAAUGAGUAGUCGGCUUCUGAGUAUGAAGUCAGCUAAUGCUUUGAAGUUAUGUUUGGUCAUAAUCCGUAAAGAAAUUUUCUUGCUAAAUGAGGAAAAAGUAUGAAGUAAGGUAUUUUUAUUUCGCUACAUAUGAAGUGGAAUUGCCUUUCUAGGGGUGGCUGUUUGUAUACAUGUCAUACGGGGGUUAAGGAUGCCAUAGUGAGGCGACACUACUAUGCUGGCGAGUAACAUGAGAGCCACUGGCUGACAAUUUCUUAUUUCUUUUGGAUGCUCAACACAUAUGACAUGCUGCAAAAUUGUUUCUUGCCAAUGAUUUAUUUUAUGUUCUUAUGAACAAAGUUCGACUCUGAUCUUUGAUGUACUUUUAUGUCAUUAUCAUGAAAUUUAGGCAGAACCUAAGAACUAUUUCUUUGUUUAUGAGGCUACUUUGUUAGUGGCUUAUUGGCAAUGAUCUUUUCUGGAUGUGUAUUAUUCAA